rnacentral:rRNA from 1 species
AUUGAACGCUGGCGGCAGGCCUAACACAUGCAAGUCGAGCGGGUGAAGAGAGCUUGCGCCGGCAUGCAGCUGACGAGGGGGGAGUAAUGCCUAGGAAUCUGCCUGGCAGUGGGGGAUAAGGUGCGGUAACGGGCGCGAAUACCGCAUACGUCCUUAGGGGGGAAGUGUGGGAUCUGCAGAGCUUACGCCAUCAGAUGAGUCUAGGUCCGAUUAGCUAGUUGGGGGGGUAAAGGCCUACCAAGGCGACGAUCCGUAACUGGCCUGAGAGGGUGAUCAGCCACACUGGAACUGAGACACGGUCCAGACUCCUACGGGAGGCAGCAGUGGGGAAUAUUGGACAAUGGGCGAAAGCCUGAUGCAGCAAUGCCGCGUGGGUGAAGAAGGUCUUCGGAUUGUAAAGCCCUUUCGUUAGGGACGAAGGGGAGUAUGUUAAUAGCGUGCUGUUUUGACGUUACCUGGAGAAGAAGCACCGGCUAACUCCGUG